UAGGGAAUCUUCGGCAAUGGGGGCAACCCUGACCGAGCAACGCCGCGUGAGUGAAGAAGGUUUUCGGAUCGUAAAGCUCUGUUGUAAGUCAAGAACGAGUGUGAGAGUGGAAAGUUCACACUGUGACGGUAGCUUACCAGAAAGGGACGGCUAACUACGUGCCAGCAGCCGCGGUAAUACGUAGGUCCCGAGCGUUGUCCGGAUUUAUUGGGCGUAAAGCGAGCGCAGGCGGUUUGAUAAGUCUGAAGUUAAAGGCUGUGGCUCAACCAUAGGUCGCUUUGGAAACUGUCAAACUUGAGUGCAGAAGGGGAGAGUGGAAUUCCAUGUGUAGCGGUGAAAUGCGUAGAUAUAUGGAGGAACACCGGUGGCGAAAGCGGCUCUCUGGUCUGUAACUGACGCUGAGGCUCGAAAGCGUGGGGAGCGAACAGGAUUAGAUACCCUGGUAGUCCACGCCGUAAACGAUGAGUGCUAGGUGUUAGACCCUUUCCGGGGUUUAGUGCCGCAGCUAACGCAUUAAGCACUCCGCCUGGGGAGUACGACCGCAAGGUUG
rnacentral:rRNA from 1 species